GCCUUCAUGGUGUAAUGAUCAGCACGCUCGACGCGUAAUCGAGAGGUCCGGGGUUCGAUUCCCGGGGAAGGCA
rnacentral:tRNA from 1 species